GGGCUGGGGCUCAAUGGUAGAGCACUUGCCUAGCAUGUGUGAAGCACUGGGUUCGAUCCUCAGCACCACA
rnacentral:tRNA from 1 species